UGUUCUUUUAUCAGUCAGGUGCAGAGCGGACCGCAGUCCUUUGUUCGUCCUACCUUGAUGCCUGUCGUAGCCCAAGGACUCAAGAAGAUCAAGUAAAAUGAAACCCAGGCAGCACAGAGCGGGAGGAAGUCAGAGACAGGCACACUGUAGUGCCAUCCACACACCUGCCACCCAGCUCACUGCACAAGCAGGCCAUAGAUACCCACCUGCUGCCACACCACACAACAUGCAGCACACAGGAUGGAAAAUGUCGCCCAGGGUCUGCCAGCUACAUGCUCAGCCUGCAGCAGGAGUCAUCGCAGUGGUGGUCAGAUGGCAGAGAAAGAAAGGCGGAACGGCUUGCGCAUCAUGAAGAGUGGUGGAACUGGAGACUCAAGGAUGGAGAGGAGAAGCCUAUCUUGAGUGGGCAGCCCUGCCACCUCAGGCCACGGUGAAGUUCAAGCCCAAGCUGCCACUGAGGGCCAUGGUCGGUCAGUGACUAUAGCAGCAGCAGGGGUCAGUGUCGAUGACCGUGCUCAUAUUAACACUAGAGAAUGUGGGCAGUCACCAGGGACAUGGAUAGAGCAACGCAUAGCUGGCCCCUCUCCUCACUGGAUCCAGUGCGCUUGAGAGCCAGCCGCAGCACUCACCACUGGGCAGCACUUGGAGGAAAAUAAAUGUCCACCAAAUGGCUGUUUAAAUUAAUUAUAGGAAGUUAUACAAGACAUGACCUCAUUUUAUGAAAGAAAAAAAUCAAUACUAUGUGAAUGUAAUACAUUCACAGUAUUACACAUGAUUACAUACUUUUAAUAAUUUAAAAGGAUAUUGAAAAUAUUCUAUGGGAUGUUAACAGCACUUAUCUUUGAAUAGGAAGGAUCGUGCUCUCUGCUUUUCUCUGCAGUAACUUCUUGGCCCAUUUUUUUUUUAAAUGAAAAGUAGGAGAAGGUUGAGGGAGACCUUAGUGUGUUCUGUGUUCUAUGGCAAGUUGACGUUUUAAUCCUCAGUAAUUCUGUAAGGUGGAUAACAGAUGACGUUUUAUUAACACAUACAAAUGACAUAGAAACUUAGAGAAAUACAGUAAUGGUCAAGAUCAUAUUGUACCUUGUUUCAGACAUGAGAUAAGAACUUGCACAUGAGCGAGG
rnacentral:lncRNA from 1 species